rnacentral:rRNA from 1 species
GAUGAACGCUAGCGGCAGGCCUAAUACAUGCAAGUCGAACGCUCAGUAGCAAUACUGGGAGUGGCGCACGGGUGCGUAACGCGUACACAAUCUACCUCUAAGCGGGGGACACCUCCUGGAUACGGGGAUUAAUACCGCAUAAUAUGCCGAAGUCGCAUGACUUUGGUAUUAAAGCAGCAAUGCACUUAGAGAUGAGUGUGCGUCCCAUUAGGUAGUUGGUGAGGUAACGGCUCACCAAGCCUAUGAUGGGUAGCCGGUCUGAGAGAAUGGUCGACCACACGGGCACUGAGACACGGGCCCGACUCCUACGGGAGGCAGCAGUAAGGAAUAUGGUCAAUGGUGGAAACACUGAACCAGCCAUGCCGCGUGGAGGAAUAAGGU